GAAGUCGGAAUCGCUAGUAAUCGGAGAUCAGCUACGCUCCGGUGAAUAUGUUCCUGAGCUUUGUACACACCGCCCGUCACGUCAUGGGAGCCAGAAGCGCCCGAAGCCGCCCUGUUUCAAGGGUGUCUACGGCGAUGCUGGUGACUGGGACGAAGUCGUAACAAGGUAGCCGUAGGAGAACCUGCGGCUGGAUCACCUCCUUU
rnacentral:rRNA from 1 species